AUUGAACGCUGGCGGCAGGCUUAACACAUGCAAGUCGAGCGAGAGGAGGACGGGGGAGUAAUGUCUGGGAAACUGCCUGAUGGAGGGGGAUAACUACUGGAAACGGGAGCAAAUAACGCAUACCAUCAGAUGUGGCCAGAAGGGAUUAGCUAGUAGGUGGGGUAAUGGCUCACCUAGGCGACGAUCCCUAGCUGGUCUGAGAGGAUGACCAGCCACACUGGAACUGAUACACGGCCCAGACUCCUACGGUAGGCAGCAGUGGGGAAUAUUGCGCAAUGGGCGCAAGCCUGAUUCAGCCAUGCCGCUUGUGUGAAGAAGGCCUUCGGGUUUUAAAGCUCUUUCAGCGAGGAGGCGUUACUCGCAGAAGAAGCCCCGGCUAACUCCGUGCCAGCAGCCGCGGUAAUAC
rnacentral:rRNA from 1 species